rnacentral:rRNA from 1 species
AGCGAACGCUGGCGGCAGGCCUAACACAUGCAAGUCGAACGGAUCCUUCGGGAUUAGUGGCGGACGGGUGAGUAACACGUGGGAACGUGCCCUUUGGUUCGGAACAACUCAGGGAAACUUGAGCUAAUACCGGAUGUGCCCUUCGGGGGAAAGAUUUAUCGCCAUUGGAGCGGCCCGCGUCUGAUUAGCUAGUUGGUGAGGUAAAGGCUCACCAAGGCGACGGUCAGUAGCUGGUCUGAGAGGAUGAUCAGCCACAUUGGGACUGAGACACGGCCCAAACUCCUACGGGAGGCAGCAGUGGGGAAUCUUGCGCAAUGGGCGAAAGCCUGACGCAGCCAUGCCGCGUGAAUGAUGAAGGUCUUAGGAUUGUAAAAUUCUUUCACCGGGGACGAUAAUGACGGUACCCGGAGAAGAAGCCACGGCUAACUACGUGCCAGCCGCCGCCGUAACAC